rnacentral:rRNA from 1 species
GUAGUCUCGCACAGAUGCAUAUCAAUAAGCGGAGGAAAAGAAACUAACAAGGAUUCCCCUAGUAACGGCGAGUGAAGCGGGAAGAGCUCAAAUUUGAAAUCUUAAAGGGUUUCCCUUUACGAAUUGUAGUUUAAAGAAGUGUUUUCUGUUGAGGUUUUGGUAAAAGUUCUUUGGAAUAGGACAUCAUAGAGGGUGAGAAUCCCGUAUUUGACCUUUACUUUCAACUUUGUGAUACACUUUCAAAGAGUCGGAUUGUUUGGGAAUGCAGUCCAAAAUGGGUGGUAAAUUUCAUCUAAAGCUAAAUAUUGGCGAGAGACCGAUAGCGAACAAGUACCGUGAGGGAAAGAUGAAAAGAACUUUGAAAAGAGAGUUAAACAGUACGUGAAAUUGUCAAAAGGGAAGCGUUUGACACCAGUGUUGUUUUUCUGAAAAUCAAUUAAAGAACUGUUUAUGCUAAGUUGUUUAGACUUUAUCAGCUAACUGUUUAGUUUUGAGCUUUUCUUUAAUGCACUUUUCAGUUAACAAGUCAACAUCAAUUUCUUUUGCUGUAAAAAAGCUUGAGGAAGGUGGCUUGAGAUUCGUCUUAAGUGUUUAUAGCCUCUUGCCUAUGCAGUCGGAGAGAUUGAGGUCUGCAGCGUAGAUCCUUCAGGGCUAAAUGCAUUUGUGCUAAGUUAUAGCAUUUUAUAGACAACUUGUUGACUAUGAUUUGUCUUGUAGCUUACUCGCUUAUGUUAUUUUACCUACGCUUAGGAUGUUGACGCAUGAGAUAUACGC